rnacentral:tRNA from 1 species
GCCUUCGUGAUGUAGCGGUAGCAUACUCGGCUCGUAUUCGAGAAGUCCAGGUUCGAGUCUCGGAGACGACA